ACCCGCUGAACUUAAGCAUAUCAAUAAGCGGAGGAAAAGAAACUAACAAGGAUUCCCUUAGUAACGGCGAGUGAACCGGGAAGAGCUCAAAUUUGAAAUCUGGCUGUCUUCGAUAGUCCGAGUUGUAAUCUAUAGAAGCGUUUUCCGUGCUGAACUGUGUAUAAGUCCCUUGGAACAGGGUAUCAAAGAGGGUGACAAUCCCGUACUUUACACAAUCAUCAGUGCUCUGUGAUACGUUCUCUACGAGUCGAGUUGUUUGGGAAUGCAGCUCAAAAUGGGUGGUAAAUUCCAUCUAAAGCUAAAUAUUGGCGAGAGACCGAUAGCGAACAAGUACCGUGAGGGAAAGAUGAAAAGCACUUUGGAAAGAGAGUUAAACAGUACGUGAAAUUGUUAAAAGGGAAACGAUUGAAGUCAGUCGUGUUUAUUGGAUUCAGCCGGUCUUCGGUGUACUUCCUUUAAACGGGUCAACAUCAGUUUUGUCCGGUGGAUAAAGGCAGUAGGAAUGUGGCUCCCUCGGGAGUGUUAUAGCCUAUUGUCACAUACACUGGAGGAGACUGAGGACUGCAGCUCGCCUUUUGGCCGGGGUUCGCCCAC
rnacentral:rRNA from 1 species